GGAGAUCAGCAGAAGCUCCCCAUACAAUGAAACCUGGGCUCUGUGAAAGGCACCCCCAGGUGACUAAGUCUUGAUGGGAGAAGAAGACACUUCUCAAGAUGUGAGGCAGUUUUACAGAGAACCAGCCGCCGCCGCUCUGCUCCAGGGGUGAAAGGUCUCUAAGAACUCAUCUGGGAGAUUUGAAUUUCCAGUGGUGGUCACCCCACGCCUGCGCUACCUCCCACCUGAGCUGCCCCACACCUGGGUCACUCCACACCCAAGCCACUCUAUACCUGUGCUAGUCACCCCACACCUGCACUACCUCCCACCUGAGCUGCCCCACACCUGAGCCCACAUCUGGAUUUGGGGGUUUUCCAAGUCAUAUAAAAUGGUUUAUCUGCCCUGCUGACACCUCC
rnacentral:lncRNA from 1 species